GAAAUGCGAUAAUUAAUAUGAAUUGCAGAAUUCAGUGAAUCAUCGAGUCUUUGAACGCACAUUGCGCCCCCUGGUAUUCCGGGGGGCAUGCCUGUCCGAGCGUCAUUGCUGCCCUCAAGCACGGCUUGUGUGUUGGGCUUCCGUCCCUGGCAACGGGGACGGGCCCAAAAGGCAGUGGCGGCACCAUGUCUGGUCCUCGAGCGUAUGGGGCUUUGUCACCCGCUCCCGUAGGUCCAGCUGGCAGCUAGCCUCGCAACCAAUCUUUUUAACCAGGUUGACCUCGGAUCAGGUAGGGAUACCCGCUGAACUUAAGC
rnacentral:misc_RNA from 1 species